CCCGCUAUAGUUUAUUCAAAACGCCGAAUUGCAAACUCGGAGAUGAUAUUUAUAUUCUAGUGAGU
rnacentral:tRNA from 1 species